rnacentral:misc_RNA from 1 species
GGAAAAUCUCCUAAUUUUGAGUAAGCUAAAGUAAAUAAAUGGAAGGCAUGAAGAUCAGAUCUUUUGGUGGACUUUUUGCAUUUCCUUUGCUAAAGUAUAAGCCAAUGAAACAUGGACAAACAGGAUACAAAGCACUUGAAUUUUGGGAAGCACUAAUUUUGGAAAAAUACCUAUGCUUUAAAGGAAACAUGCCAACGAAAGCUACCUGCAUUUUCUCAUAUCACAGCCAU